rnacentral:rRNA from 1 species
GAUGAACGCUGGCGGCGUGCUUAACACAUGCAAGUCGAACGGAAAGGCCAGUGCUUGCACUGGUACUCGAGUGGCGAACGGGUGAGUAACACGUGGGUGAUCUGCCCUGCACUUCGGGAUAAGCCUGGGAAACUGGGUCUAAUACCGGAUAGGACAAUGGUUUGGAUGCCGUUGUGGAAAGUUUUUUCGGUGUGGGAUGAGCUCGCGGCCUAUCAGCUUGUCGGUGGGGUAAUGGCCUACCAAGGCGUCGACGGGUAGCCGGCCUGAGAGGGUGUACGGCCACAUUGGGACUGGGAUACAGCCCGGAGUCCUACGGGGGGCAGCAGUGGGGAAUAUUGCACAAUGGGCGCAAGCCUGAUGCAGCGACGCCGCGUGGGGGAUGACGGCCUUCGGGUUGUAAACUCCUUUCGCUAGGGACGAAGCGUAUUUGUGACGGUACCUGGAGAAGAAGCACCGGCUAACUACGUG